ACUUGCGAGACAAGACCAGCUAUGCUCGCUGGUGGGCGGUAUAAACUUCACCCGGCUAUAUGUGGAGUUUAGCGGCAGCAAAGCUACUAUCCAAUAGAGACACGCUACAACAUCCGUCUACUCGGAGAAGAUAAGAGAGCGCACAAGGUAACAGUUCUAUACUCUGCAAACAUAACACAGCCGAUGCGAUCCCCCUUCGCAAAGAGGUACUGGCAAAGG